CAUAAUGCUAACCAGUUAGCAGCUUGGUGCCUACAUCACAUCUGCACUCACUACAACAAUGUCUGUGCCAACUAUCGCAAAGAGAUCAAGGCCAAAUCUGCAGAGAACCAGGAYUACUUUGAGAAGCACCGCUGGCCCCCGGUGUGGUACCUGAAGGAGGAGGACCACUACCAGCGGGUGAGGAAGGAGAGAGAGAAGGAGGACGUGGUUCUCAACAAACACCACAGCAGACGACGUUGGUGCUUCUGGAGCACCUCCCCUGCCGUGGCCUGAGAGGAGGUCUGAGGAGGGUCUGCCCCAAACCGCCCAGGGAACUGGCCCCGUGCUCCAGCUUCUAACCCUGCUCCCCGCAACGAGGUCCCACCUGCCCCGUGCUCCAGCUUCUAACCCUGCUCCCCGCAACGAGGUCCCAACAACACACGCUGUCCAACAACACACGCUGUCCCAAUGUUUUACUGUUAGAUCAUCUGAGCGUUAAGACAGAAAAUAACUAUCUGACGAUGCAGUCAGGCCCUACCCUCUUCUCUUGAUGCACUGUCAGGCCCUACCCUCUUCUCUUGAUGAUGCACUGUCAGGCCCUACCCUCUUCUCUUGAUGAUACACUGUCAGGCCCCUCCUCUUCUCUUGACGAUACACUGUCAGGCCCUACAUCUUCUCUUGAUACACUGUCAGGUCCUACCUCUUCUCUUGACGAUACACUGUCAGGCCCUACCCUCUUCUCUUGAUACACUGUCAGGCCUUACCCUCUUCUCUUGAUACACUGUCAGGCCUUACCCUCUUCUCUUGAUACACUGUCAGGCCUACCCUCUUCUCUUGAUACACUGUCAGGCCCUACCCUCUUCUCUUGAUACACUGUCAGGUCCUACCCUCUUCUCUUGAUACACUGUCAGGUCCUACCCUCUUCUCUUGAUACACUGUCAGGUCCUACCCUCUCUCUUGAUGAUACACUGUCAGGUCCUACCCUCUUCUCUUGAUGAUACACUGUCAGGUCCUACCCUCUUCUCUGAUGAUACACUGUCAGGUCCUACCCUCUUCUCUUGACGAUACACUGUCAGGUCCUACCCUCUUCUCUUGACGAUACACUGUCAGGUCCUACCCUCUUCUCUUGACGAUACACUGUCAGGUCCUACCCUCUUCUCUGACGAUACACUGUCAGGUCCUACCCUCUUCUCUUGACGAUACACUGUCAGGUCCUACCCUCUUCUCUUGACGAUACACUGUCAGGUCCUACCCUCUUCUCUUGAUGAUACACUGUCAGGUCCUACCCUCUUCUCUUGAUGAUACACUGUCAGGUCCUACCCUCUUCUCUUGAUGAUACACUGUCCGGCCUACCCUCUUCUCUUGAUACACUGUCAGGUCCUACCCUCUUCUCUUGAUGAUACACUGUCAGGCCCUACCCUCUUCUCUUGACGAUACACUGUCAGAUCCAACCCUCUUCUCUUGAUGAUACACUGUCAGGUCCAACCCUCUUCUCUUGAUGAUACACUGUCAGGCCCUACCCUCUUGACGAUACACUGUCAGGUCCAACCCUCUUCUCUUGAUGAUACACUGUCAGGCCCUACCCUCUUCUCUUGACGAUACACUGUCAGGUCCUACCCUCUUCUCUUGAUGAUACACUGUCAGGUCCAACCCUCUUCUCUUGAUGAUACACUGUCAGGUCCAACCCUCUUCUCUUGAUGAUACACUGUCAGGCCCUACCCUCUUCUCUUGACGAUACACUGUCAGGUCCUACCCUCUUCUCUUGAUGAUACACUGUCAGGUCCAACCCUCUUCUCUUGAUGAUACACUGUCCUGUCCUACCCUCUUCUCUUGAUACACUGUCAGGUCCUACCCUCUCUGCUUGGGUCCACAUGAAUAACCUCCCCACGGCAGGGCUCUACAGAGGGUCAUUAAUAUGUAGCUGUGCGACCUGGAGUUAGAAUUUAGGAGCUCCAGUGCACCUAGAAACAGGAUUCUAGCUACGUUGUUCAACCUGUCCACGUGGUGUGGUAUGUGCUUGCUGUUAGACAUGUAACAUAAUGGAUGUAUAUUGUGAUUGUUGAUGUUAGCUGCAGUCACUGACACCAGCCCUGGAUCUAAGUCUGAAUCAUAAAUGAUGCAAAAAUAACUCUGAACCUGAUGAAACACAGGACCUGUUCAUAGACGGGGCUUCAUGCAGCCGUGGAAUAACAACAACAACAACGUUGAAGGUACGUCUUGUGCUCACUGGGAUACCGAUACAGCUCCAGGGAUAAACAGAGCUCCUGAUUGAACCGAUCCCCCAGGUCGGUAUAUUUAACCCAGGUGGAGGUCUGUAUUCUUAAACACCUGAUUGUUCCUUUAACCCACCUGGUGAUGGUAAAGGGGAAACUCUAUACUUGAAAUCAAUGUGUUUUUAUUCAUCAGCUAGUAGGCUUUCUUUAGUUAUCCAAAGCCAUAACUAGUCGGUUUAUCAUAUUUUAAUAUAUAUACCAUGUGAUUAUUUAUUUGUUGGUGAUAUUUACUAUAGAAACCAAGUUGCUGGUUCUCUUGGUUCCUGCUGUCAAAGGUCUUUGAUCUAGCUGCUCGUCAUCCUUCAUAUUCUUCAUAACCAAGUUGCUGGUUUCUCUGGUUCCUGCUGUCAAAGGUCUUUGAUCUAGCUUCUCGUCAUCCUUCAUCUUCUUUAUAACCAAGUGGCUGGUUCUCUUGGUUCCUGCUGUCAAAGCUCUUUGAUCUAGCUGCUCAUCAUCCUUCAUCUUCUUCAUAACCAAGUGGCUGGUUCUCUUGGUUCCCGCUGUCAAAGGUCUUUGAUCUAGCUGCUCGUCAUCCUUCAUCUUCUUCAUAAACAAGUGGCUGGUUCUCUUGGUUCCUGCUGUCAAAGGUCUUUGAUCUAGCUGCUCAUCAUCCUUCAUUUUCUUUUUUAAAGGGAAUGUUGUUGAAUAAAUGAUUGAUUUUACUUAAUUGCUUUAUUCUAGUUUUCCUUUGAACUGCACAGUGUAUUUCCUAUGGUCUGGACUGUUGGUCUAAAGGUUAAUGCAGACAAUAUGUCAUGUUUCAAUCCUCAGACUGAGACCAGCCUGAGUGCCAGUCUGUUCUGCUACUAUGUUUGGCGUGACAAUUCCAUAAGGAGUUGGCAAGAGAGCAGAAAUGUUUGUUUCACGUACCUAUCAAUAAUACUAUUGAAUCAAAUUCAGAUGUAAUGUUUGUUUCACAUACCUAUCAAUAAUACUUUUGAAUCAAAUUCAGAUGUAAUGUUUGUUUCACAUACCUAUACAUAAUACUAUUGAAUCAAAUUCAGAUGUAAUGUUUGUUUCACAUACCUAUCAAUAAUACUAUUGAAUCAAAUUCAGAUGUAAUGUUUGUUUCACAUACCUAUCAAUAAUACUAUUUGAAUCAAAUUCAGAUGUAAUGUUUGUUUCACAUACCUAUCAAUAAUACUAUUGUAAUCAUGGGUUUAUUGUUUUGAGUGGCGCACCAUCAGCUGAAGCUGCCAUGUAGAACAAGUUAUUCAACUGAUCAGAGUUCAGUCCAGCCCUGUUAUAUAGAAGGAUCUGUUGCUGUUAUGAAAGGCUCCGUGUCAACAUCAGAGGGAGAGAGAAGGUUUGGCAACAACGCUCAGCCUCACUCUGUCAGCAGAGGAGCAGCCUGUACCCAAGCUGUCACUCCGAGGAGCCAGACCAACACUGUAUACAUAACAGCCCUGGAACACAAUGUCACAUUCUAUUAUUAGUAAGGAUCAUUAUUAUAUUGCCUGGUGAUUCUAUAACCAAUGUCAACAUGAGUGUAUUAUAAUCAACUUACAAUAAAAGUAAUUGUGGUUCCAGUAUAUGGACUGUA